GUGUAAAGAGAAGAACGGGUCCCUGGCGGUGUUCUCCAGCGUGGAAGAGCUGAGUAAUGCCACUCAGAACCUCUUCUACUACACUGGGCACAUCUUCAACGGUUCUAGCUUCAAUCCUCCACCUCCACCAUACACCUGCGCCACAGGAGAGACUUGUGUGGGAAGUGCAGAUCUGGACUGCUUGGCUCUCAGCUUACAGGGGACGUCAAUCGUGGCCAGGGCUCAGAGCCGUUACAGGAACGACACCUUCGCCUCGUGUACAGUACCAUGUGAGUUUUGAUGUCACCUGAAUUCUCCUCUUUUUUUUUUCGUGAUCACCUGCUUGUAACACCUUAAAGUACCUCGCUUGUGUUCAUCUCACUCUCGCAACACUUUCAUCAAUCAUUUUCACUCACAACGCUUUCUUAAUUCUUGCUUUCGCGCAUUGCUUGAUGUAUAUCUUUCUUACUUGCAACAUGUUUUGUAAAUCUCCUCAUCCGGAACACUUGCUAUUAAAUCCAUUAGGAAUUCCUGAA